UCCCUGGAGGACUAGUGGUUAGAUCACAGUGCUCUCACUGCUGCGGUCUGGGUUUGAUUCCUGGCCAUGGAA
rnacentral:tRNA from 1 species